rnacentral:rRNA from 1 species
ACCUACGGGAGGCAGCAGUGGGGAAUAUUGCACAAUGGGGGGAACCCUGAUGCAGCGACGCCGCGUGAGUGAAGAAGUAUUUCGGUAUGUAAAGCUCUAUCAGCAGGGAAGAAAAUGACGGUACCUGACUAAGAAGCCCCGGCUAACUACGUGCCAGCAGCCGCGGUAAUACGUAGGGGGCAGGCGUUAUCCGGAGUUACUGGGUGUAAAGGGAGCGUAGACGGUAAUGCAAGUCUGGAGUGAAAGGCGGGGGCCCAACCCCCGGACUGCUCUGGAAACUGUGUAACUGGAGUGCAGGAGAGGCG